rnacentral:rRNA from 1 species
UACGAAGGGGGCUAGCGUUGCUCGGAAUCACUGGGCGUAAAGCGCGCGUAGGCGGAUUGGUAAGUCAGGGGUGAAAUCCUGGAGCUCAACUCCAGAACUGCCUUUGAUACUGGCGAUCUCGAGUCCGGGAGAGGUGAGUGGAACUGCGAGUGUAGAGGUGAAAUUCGUAGAUAUUCGCAAGAACACCAGUGGCGAAGGCGGCUCACUGGCCCGGUACUGACGCUGAGGUGCGAAAGCGUGGGGAGCAAACAGG